UGGUAUAGUGUUACAACUUAGAAAAUAAUACAUUCGUUGCUCAAAAUCUAGUCAUUUUUAAAAUACGAAUUUUUAUGUAUGCGGAUUUGGAAUUUUAUACUGAAUGUAAAUAUGUUUCAACUUUUUUUCGUCGACUUCUGAUUUUAUUAUAUAUAAAGAGUACAUUAUUUUUUAUCCCUACACAUAUUACAAAGUAAAAUACACGUGUAGAGUAAUGACAUAAUUUCCAACCACGUGGCAUUAAUGGGACAUGCAAAUUGAUCUUUCUCUUCACCGCCGGUAAAAUCUCGACCACCGCCGACGAUAGAGCUUCAUCUUCCCACCUUCAAUCCUCGUUUCACCUUGAUUUUGUACUCUUUAUAUUUAGCUUUCGCCUUCAACCGCACUUGAAUCUCUUACAACCGCCGGUGAAUUAAAUAUGAGAAGUUCUAGUUGAUUCAACUAGAAGAUUCAUUACUGGACCUUCAUUGAAGAUGCCAAUUUCCACUGAAUCUUCCUUAAAUCAACAGCGUACUUCCAACAUCACCAUCGUCCUUUUCAUCUGAGAUGUUCCAUUUUCAUGUUGACUUACUCUUAAUACAUAAGAGAGAAAUAGCCUCAUAGAAAAGGGAUCUGUGCUCAACCAGCAAAGAAGAAAAGUUUCAAAUCCAAACAUCAACAGAAUAUGAAUUAGCCCAGCGAAAGAGAUAAAACAAAAAGUCGACUAAGCGAAAAGUUUAUCCGCAACGGAAGGGAAUUUUGAUCUAGCGAUCGAUAAUAUUAUCAUCGUAAACAAAAAAAAAUAAACAAAAAGAGGGAUGGUGACCGGUGGCAAGCUGCUCACCAGCCACCGGAAACGAUUUCAAGUUCUGUGUAAGUCUAGAGAGAAGUUGGAGGUGUUUAAGAGAGAGACGUUAAAUAUGUUUCAACCUGAAUCAAUGAAAAAUAUAAAUAAAACAUGACGUAGUAGGCUAUCUCAUGGAAAGUAAUCAAAUUAGCCCUAGUUGGAAAAUAUCUAUUCUAAUUACCCCAUCUAUUUUCUCAUUGCCCCACAUUUUUUCACUAUUUUCCUCUUUCCC
rnacentral:lncRNA from 1 species